CAAGAAGCUGUAAUCCUGAUGAACAAAACAUGUCUUUCGUUGAUGUCAGUGAAAUCAUAGUGAGUCAUGGUUAUUGGGUGAACUUCUUUAAAUCAUUUUAUUAACAGAAAGUUCAGUAAACGAUGAUACAUUA